GUCGGUUAAUAAAAAUAACGACGCAGUACACACAAAUACCGUCGGGCACUCGGACGUAUGUAAAUCGCAAACGCAAUGGUAAUAAAACUGCAAUAUAAUACGAUCCAAUCGGUUAGGUACGUUUAAAAAAAAUAAAAUACAAAUUACGUUCAAAUAAUCGUAAUGUCUUUUAUCGUUUUCAUUUCGCGUAACAUUUUUUUUUAUAACAUUACGGCACGGGCGUCUGUGUAUCACAUGUUAAUAAAAACCUAUUUACAGCGAUGUUAUCAAAAUAAAUUAUUCCUACGUGAUGUAUCGAAAUAAUAACAGCGUGUUGUUUUAGGCGGAGAAAAUGGUCAUUGAAAUCGUUCAAUUGAAUUCGAGAAUUCAAAAGCUCGAAACAGAUUGAUAACAAAUCUGCGAAAAAAAAAUAAUACUAGCGACAAGUUUGAAAGUGUCCGGAAAAGAUUUAGUCGAGAAAGUUUCGAUCGAGAUAGUGGGAUUAGCUCGUCUAAAGAAACAAAUGGGAGAAACGAAACAAGAUCACUUCAACACGAGUUCCAGGAAGCCACUGGCCAAUUGUCAAUAGUAAUUUUAUAAAGUCCAUUAUGUUUGUUUAUAGCUUUAAAUAUGUGUGUCUAUUAGUUUCAUCUGGUUUGAAGUCCGAAUCGCCUGACACCGUAAGACAAACCGAAGUGAGAACAAUGACCGCCAAGUUUGAUUCAUCGAAAACCGAUCGUUCCGUAUUUUUUCGACAACAAUUCAAGAGUAACCGGUGUACAAGACGUUUUAACCACAAUGCGAAAUAUGCCGAUUUAUUUAAUAAAACCACAACGAGAAAAUAAAAUAACUA